CAAUCAAACUGGGAAAUAGCUCGUACUCCCCGAAAUGCAUUUAGGUGCAGCGUUGAUGUGAGUUUAAUAGAGGUAGAGCUACUGAUUGGAUGCGGGGGUUUCAUCGCCUACCAAUUCCUGACAAACUCCGAAUGCUAUUAAAAGUUAAUCAGCAGUGAGGGUAUGGGUGCUAAGGUCCAUAUCCGAGAGGGAAAGAACCCGGACCAUCAGCUAAGGUCCCCAAAUAUAUGCUAAGUUGACCAAACGCGGUCUGACUGCACUGACAGCUAGGAUGUUGGCUUGGAAGCAGCCAUACAUUUAAAGAGUGCGUAACAGCUCACUAGUCGAGCGGUUGGGCAUGGAUAAUAAACGGGCAUAAGCAUAUUACCGAAGCUAUGGGGUUAUACAUUAGUAUAUACCGGUAGGGGAGCAUUCUAUAGGCGUUGAAGCUAAAGGCGUGAGCCAUAGUGGAGCUGAUAGAAAAGAAAAUGUAGGCAUAAGUAACGAUAAGGCAGGCGAGAAACCUGCCCGCCGAAAGAUCAAGGUUUCCUCAGCUAUGCUAAUCAGCUGAGGGUUAGUCGGGGACUAACGCGCACCCGAGUAGGGGAAGUGGAUGUACAACGGGUUAAUAUUCCCGUACCAUUAAUCUGAUAAAAGUGACGGAAUGAGAUAACUACCGCGUACUGACGGAAUAGUACGUUAAAGGAGCUGUUAUGGCUUUGAUAGUACACUGAGGCUUCGGCUAAGGUGAUAGAGUGGUGACAACGUUUCCAAGAAAAGCGAAGAUUAAUGCCCGUACCGUAAACCGACACAGGUGAUUGGGAAGAGAAUUCUAAGGCGCUCGAGAGAUUCAUGGCUAAGGAACUAGGCAAAAUAGACCUGUAACUUCGGGAGAAAGGUCGCCUAUCUAGCGAUAGGCCGCAGUGAAAAGGUCCAAGCGACUGUUUAUCAAAAACACAGGACUCUGCAAAAUCGAAAGAUGAGGUAUAGGGUCUGACACCUGCCCGGUGCUGGAAGGUUAAGAGGAGAGCUUAGCAGCAAUGCGAAGGUUUGAAUUGAAGCCCCAGUAAACGGCGGCCGUAACUAUAACGGUCCUAAGGUAGCGAAAUUCCUUGUCGGGUAAGUUCCGACCUGCACGAAUGGUGUAACGAUUUGGACACUGUCUCGGCCAUGAGCUCGGUGAAAUUGUAGUAUCGGUGAAGAUGCCGAUUACCCGCAGUGGGACGAAAAGACCCUGUGCACCUUUACUAUAUCUUCGUAUUGGUCUUGGAUAAGUGAUGCGUAGGAUAGGUGGGAGACUAAGAAGCGGCUAUUCUGGUAGUUGUGGAGUCAUUGUUGAAAUACCACCCUUUGCUUAUCUGAGGUCUAACUUUGCACAAGGCAAAGGACAAUUCGUGGAGGGUAGUUUGACUGGGGUGGUCGCCUCCAAAAGCGUAACGGAGGCUUCUAAAGGU
rnacentral:rRNA from 1 species